GGCUCAUCGACAUUUUAGAUGUUACUACUGUUGGCUCAGUGGCAAAUGGUAUCACACACAUAUGAUGGACUGUUAAUCUGUGGGCUUAUCCAGUGGGACUGAGUCACGCCAUUCUGACUGAUUCUGGCCUGAGCGCUGUGAGAUAGUAAGUGUAGCACUGGAGACAGAAAGCUAACGUAGCGAGGGAAAUGUUCUGUUCUAACAGCUGCCAGCGGCGGUCCCAAUCACUUCCCAUCAGUGCAAUCUCAUGACACCGUCAGCACAAAGGUCCCUAUUGCACAUGCUCAGAAGCUGUGGCUGAAGGAGAGACUACACAGCUUGUCUGCAUCCUGUACCCUACUGGGCAGAGCGAGCUCACCCUCUUGCCACUAAAAACCAACCAGCCAGUUUCCCGUUCUUUCUGCCCGCUCAAGAGUCUCUCAAAGCAGCAGAGAUGGCCAACUGCAAAGCCGUUUGUGGGGAGGCUCCAUCUUCCAGUAUUUUGUCUGCAUGUAUGCCUGCCGGCCAGAAGAGGACACCAGAUCUCAUUACAGAUGGUUGUGAGCCACCAUGUGGUUGCUGGGAAUUGAACUCAGGACCUUUGGAAGAACAGCCAGUGUUCUUAACCACUGAGCCAUCUCAACCACUGAGCCAUCUCUCCAGCCCCUUCCGGAGGGAUUCUAAAGGCUGCUACUGUAACAACAAGAUCAGUUGUCACAGAACUAAGGGAGGUGGAAGAGAGGAUGCUGCCAGAAGAGAAGAGGCUAGCCGGGAUGUGGAAGAAAAGAGGCUGGCCGGGAUGUGCUCCAUGGAACCCAACGUCAGCGUGAACUGGGCCAGCUUGAGAGCAGACUCAUUGUGCGCCGUGAACGGAUGUCAGCAGGUCUGUGCUGGCUGGUCUUCUGUCACUGGACACACAAGCUAGAGUCAUCUGAAAGGAGGGAGCCUCGACCGAGAACAUGGCUCCAUAAGACCCGGCUGUAAGGCAUUUUCUUAACUAGUGAUUGAUGGAGGGCCCAGUCCAUUGUGCGGGGUACCAUCCCUGGGCUGGUGAUCCUGGGUUCUAUAAAAAGCAGGAUGAACAUGCCAGGACACAGCACCCCCCCCCUUCCAUGGCCUCUGCAUCCACUCCUGCCUCCAGGUUCCUCCCCUGACUUCCCUCAGUGAAGAAGAGCAAUAUGGAAGUGUAAGCCUUUGAAUAAACCCUUUCCUCCCUAGCUUGCUUUUCGGUCAGGUGUUUCAUCACAGCAAUAGAAACCGUAACUAAAGACAAGGUCCUUUGCUCCUUAACUCUCCGCAAGCUGCUGCCCCAGAUGGAGUCUCUGAAGAGUUAGUCACAACAGGGCAGCUCCAGCUCCAGCCCUUCCACCCCUCAGCCUUGGCUCCCAAAGGGAAGAGUGAGAUCUCCCUGUCAACUGCUCCUCAGCUUCUCUGGCUGGGUCACAUGCCAUCCAUAGAACUAGGGAUGGAAUCUCGUCUGUCACAAGGAGGCUGAGGGUCUGGGCUGAGACUGGGAAGAACAUGAGGACAGCCUCACAGCCACAGUCGGCUGCUGUGUCCCCCAAACCUCUUUAUUUCUCAGCAGUACUCUCGCCCCACCUUUUAGAGAAAGAGCCUCACCAUGUAGCCCAGGCUGGCCUCAAGCUCCUGACACUUCUUUCUGUGUGUCCUGAGGGCUUUAGACUGUCCACCUGCCUCUCCCUUUGAUUUGUUAGAGUUCCUGGGACUUGGUCCUUGCUGUGGUUUGAAUGAGGAAUGUACUCCACAGAUUUGUGUAUCUGAACACUUGGUCCCUUGCUAGUGGUGCUGUGUGGGGAGGUUAUGGAACCCUUAGGAGGUGGAGCCUCGUUGGAGGAAGUACAUCACUGGGGGUGGGCCUUGAAGUUGUAUAGCCUGGCCUCCCUUAUUCGUCUCUUCCUCCACUUCCUGACUCCCAGGCUGGCCCCCUGCUCCUCCCGCCAGGACAGCGUGAUGGGCUGUAUGGUGAACCCUUUCUCUCCAUAGUUGGCUUUUGUCGGGGUAUUCCAUCUAUCACAACAGAAAAGGAACAAUACAGCCUGUAGACGCCUCCCGCCUGGGUGUGGCUGCGCUGGGGAGCUUCGGUGCUUGCUCCUGCUUGGCACAGUUCUCAGAUACAGAAGCCUACUUAGACUCUGCCCUUUAUUGUUACCAGUUCUUUCCAGCCAAGCUGUGUGAUUUGACACCCCGCGCUGAGCACAGAGGUACCUGGUUCACGUAGCUGUAGCUGGUGUAGCUGGUGUAGGAGACAGGGGUCCAGCGUCCAUCUCCUACAUAUGGGUAUUAUACCUUCAGCUUUGUUCUUUUUAAAAAUACAUCAGCAAGCCAGGCGAUGGUGGCGCACGCCUUUAAUCCCAGCACUCGGGAGGCAGAGGCAGGCGGAUCUCUGCGAGUUCGAGACCAACCUGGUCUACAGAGCUAGUUCCAGGACAGGCUCCAAAGCAACAGAGAAACCCUGUCUCGAAAAAAAAAAAAUACAUCAGCAAAACAAAACAAGAAUAUAUCAGCAACAACUACAGCAACAAAUCAUUGCUAAGUGAUGGUUUGAGGCCAACUGGGUCUACAGAGUGAGUUCAAGGGUAGCCAGGGCUCUGUUACACAGAAACCCUGUCUUGAAAAAAUGAACCAAAACCAAAAUAUAUUUAUGUAUCUUAUUAUUUAUUUAUUUGUGUGUGUUGUUUUAUUUCUAUUUCUGGGAAGGAAGGCAUUGAGGUUUCUGUAAAAACUGUGCUGUCUGUAGAUAGCUGUCGGUGGUCUGGACAUUUUAAGCUAUUGAUGUUUCUCAUCCACAAACAUGGGGUUUCUGUCCAUUGUGUUCUCUCAAUUUCUCCCGCCGGUGUUGGUAAUUUUCACUGCUGGAAUCAUCCACUUGGCUUGGCGGCAUUGCCUUCUAGGUGGUUUAUCUUUUGUUGCUCCUGUGAGUGGAGGUGUUUGUGAGCGGGGUCAUUUUCUUGACUUCUCUCGCAGUAUUUUGCCGUUGGUAGAUGAAGGGCUGCUGGGUCAUGCUGCUGACUCGCAUCCUGAAAUUGCCUUUAUUGUCACUAUCAUUAUUAUGAUUUGAGGGAAAGUCUCAAGUAAUAGGGAUAGGCUGACUGUUGUGACUAGGGACUAAAGAAACGACAGACACACAGACCCAGACAUUCGUACUGAAAAGCUGGGAUUGAGCGGGCCAUGCCCUCUGAGGGAGGUACACUGCCAUCAGACUCAGAGACUCAGUGUUUACUGUAUACCUCGGAAUGGAGGGGCAGCUGAUCCAGACAGCUGGACAGGGGCUGGUUUAGCAGGGAGGAUUCUGCAAGGAACCAGUCUAGAGCUAGAAAUUUCCCAGAGGAGGAAGCUGUGAUGGAUAGUUUCUGCUCACUCUGGGUUCAGCGGAAGUCAGUCAUUUGCAACAUUUGUAACAUAUGCUGUCCCCAGGGCCUUACCUGGGGAAGACUUUGCCAUUCCCCUGGGUCUGAGGCAUUGGGGUCCGUAACAUGGCUAUGAUUGUGUCAAGAACACACAGGUACUCAGUCUUUCAUCUGCUCCUUACACAUUCGCUCAGGGCUUCCUCCGCUCUCUACAGUCUCAUGUAGCCCAGGUUAGCUUCAAGCUCGCCAGGUAGCCAAGGAUAGCCUUGAAUUUCCAGUCCUCCUGUGUCUACCUCCUGGAUGUGGAGAAUUACAGACGCUCACUACUUCGCCUAGUUUCUGAGGUUCUGGGACUAAACCCAGGCUUCAGGUGUGCUAGACAACUACACCCUCAGCCCUAGUUAAUCUCCUUAAAAAGUCCUCUUUAUUGUGUGUUGGGGUGGGGUAGGAUGGGCAGAGAGCAGCGUGCAUGGGGCCUGUGGAGGUCAGAGGACAGCUUGUGGGAGGUCGUUCUCCCCAGCUCUCCCCUGCAGUCACGGAGGUUCCAAGGGUCAAGCUCAGGCCAUCAGGCUUGGCAGCAAGCACCUUUUUACCUGCUGAGCCAUCUUGCCAACCUGGUUAUUCUAUUUUUAAUGAGGCCAAAGUUGAUAAGUGGAAUCAGUCAUAACAGACUGAUCUGUCUGUGAUAAGUCCUCAUCAGUUCUUUUUCUGUUCCUUCAAUAAUCUUGUUUUUGAAAGACCCUACAGACCCCCUCCUCAAAACCUGCAGCAGCCAGCCUGCUCUAGUAAGAACAUCCCAUGUGCUUGAGAGAGCAGGAUGAGAUAGGAAGACUGCAAGGCAGGAUAUCAAUAAGAUAGGACAUCAACAAAGCAGGUUGACUGCAAAACAGGAUAUCUAUAAGAUAGGAACAGGAUGACUUUUGCUGACACCCAUGCUGAGAGAGGAAACCAUUCAUGCCCCUGCCUCAUUCCGAUAACCACGCUUUUUUUGCUUCUGUAAACUUGCUUUUUGCUCUUCCCUAUAAAAAACCUGCCCUCCAGUUGGCAGGCGCGCAAGUCCUCCGAAAGACUUGCCGCCCGCAGGUACCUGUGUUUACCCAAUAAACCUCUUGCGAUUUGCAUCCGUAUGGUCUCGGCCUGUUCCUUGGCAUGGGGAGGUCUCCUCCUGAUAGAAAGUCCUCUUCGAGGGUCUU